rnacentral:rRNA from 1 species
AUGGAGCAAGAUAGAGAAAAAACUCCUAUCCCAGUUGAUCGAGCUGAACCCACCCACCGCCGGGAAGUACAAUCAGUCUCUCAUGCUUUCAUGGAUAAUGUUUUUAAGUGGAAUGGAUUGCCAAAGUCAAUAGUCUCUGAUAGAAACUGGAUAUUCACAAGUAACAUGUGGCAGGCCUUCUUCAAAGCACUGCAAGUGAAAUUGAGGUUUAGCUCUGCCUAUCACCCACAAUCAGAUGGCCAGAUAGAACAUGUGAAACAGUGUGUGGAAAAUUACUUGCGUUGCAUGGUUUUUCAGCAACCAAGGAAGUGGGCUAGUUUGGAUCAAGCAAAUGCCACUUGGGAGGAUGCCGACUUCAUCAAAGGUCUCUUUCCGGAGUUCUAUACAACUCCUAUUCGUGGUUGGUGCCCUAAUUCCAACACUUGA